GCGCUCGUAGCUCAGCGGAUAGAGCACCGGCCUGCGGAGCCGGGGGUCGGGCGUUCAAGUCGCCCCGAGCGCGCCA
rnacentral:tRNA from 1 species